GUCUCUAUGAUCCAUGGUUUGUACUGUAUCAUACUUUGCAUAGUUCCAUGACUGCAAAUGAAAGAUUGAACUAUUAAGUGUGAUGUGGCAGCUAAACUGUUGGAUUUGUUGCUAGGUCUAAUUUCCCUGGAUUCGGUUAGUCUUAAGCUUCAGUUUUUAGUCAUUUUAUUUGUCCUUAAUCUUCAGUCUUUGUAUCAUUCAAGAUUUAUUGUCUAAGUGUCAGUCUUGUUUUAUUGUCUUAGUCAUAUAUACAAGCCCAAAAUUGAUUGCUUAUACUAUUACUUACUUAUUGUCUAAGUGUCAGUCUCAUUUUUAUUGUCUUAGUAUCAUUGUUAUUGUCUUAGUAUCAUUUUUAGUCCUUUUUGGGACACGUGUAGGCAUUUUGUAUAUGAGUUUCCGUCUCAGUUUAUGUCUUGUAUUGGACUAGUAUAUGUAUAUGAGUUUCAGUCUAAGUCUUGAGUUUAGUAUAUGUCUAUUUUCAGUUUAAGUUUUGUUUCAGGUUCGGUCUUGCCUGUGCUUGAGUCUCAGUUAAUUGUUAUCUCUACAGUGCAGUGUUUACUUUCAUUUUCAUUCGUUAGUUUCAGUUUCAUUCAUGGCUCGUUCAGUUCAGUUCAGUUUGUUUAGCAUAUGAUUGUAUUUUUCUUUUGCGAGUAUAUGAUUGUAUUUUUUUUUGCCUAUGCUUGUAUCCGAUUUUCCAAAUAUUUUUAGGUUAAUCUGGUUCUUUUCUAGUCUCAGUUUCAGACUUGUCCGAGUUUUUGGGUGUACAAGAGUAGUUUCAGAAAUGUCCCCUGCUCUUUUUUAUCAUGCUGGUUUUGCACUAACUUUGACGAACCUAUUGUAUUGCAGAAAUGUUCCCGUAGUAGGCAAUGGCAGUCAGUGGACAAUGCAGUGGCAUAAUAUAUCUGUAGUUAAUUUUCGUGGCUACGGUCAUCGUUGUGUUGGCAAAAGUAGAAAAUUCGAUGUGUAAAUUCAUGGAGUGACAUUAGUAAUGUGAAGGCAUUUUUUGCUGUCAAAUUUGUUGCUUUAGUUGUAGCACGUGUGUGCAAUUGCCUGAGUUCCGGACUAUAAUCAUUUGUUGUAUUUGGACUGUAAUCAGGCAUUACAGAAAAGCCCAAAACCUGGUAGCUGACAUACAAAUACAAUCUUGAGUAGUCUUCGGUUAUUUCAUUAAAAGGUCAGGGUAAAGAGAUAGCGCACCAGGGCCAUGAUCCGCUCCUCAGAUUGCUCCCAGGUUUGAUGAUCUUUCUCCGUUGCCUUUCUUCUACAGUCUCCUCCAUGUCUUUCUAUGUUCUUUCUUUUCGGUUUUGUUUCUUUGAAUCGGAAGAUGGCGCCGGACGUAAAGAACAGAGCUUCUGUUGGAUUUGUUCCCCUCGUUCUUUUGUGCUGCUCUCGUCCUAAACCCAUCACUUUGUUGCAAACGGGCCUCGAAAAAAUCAACAACCCGUUAACUGCCUGCUAAUUACGCUGAGUUUUUGUGUCUGUUGUAUUUUCUUUUAUUGGGGGGGGGGGGGGGGGGGGAUUACAUUCACGAGUUACAUGUGCCUACUGCCUAUUGGUCCAAAAUCUUACCGAGGACGAAUUCAGAAUCAGCUACUCCUUCCGAGUUGACGAUUUAAUACAAAGUUAUACAAUCCCAGGCAAAAUUACUUGUACACAACAUAAAAGUAAAAAUAAAACAGGCAACAUAAAAUUCCCAUAAUACCCAUGCGUUUAUCCAGCCACUUCCUGCUCAUCCAUAGCACUAGUAAAUUGUACCGUAAAAGGCCUCACAAAUAUAUGAUUUUUUUCUGUUCUGUAUCCUCACCCUAAUUGCCAACUUCAUGGUACAAACAACCAAGAUUUACUUACCAGCAGUCAAAAACAUAUUUCUUCGGAAAUAACAAGAAACUAAGCUGCUAUGGAUUCUUACCUGUGUAAUUUUCCCUUGCAAAUUACGCCUGACUCCACCGGACCUGAUAAUGAGUUUCAGAACUUGCACAGCCCCCUUGACUGUGAGCUUCAAUGAUCAAUACAGAUUUACGCGGAUAGAAUAGAGAGCCUUUCUACUUUAUGUAGUUUUCCAACUGUGAAUUGAGGAACAGAAGGUAAACAUAGAGUAAACUGUUGUAUCGAAUUUCGAAUGGCGACAUUUUUCCUUUUUGUUUCUCUAAAUCCUUGGUUUUUGUAACUGAUUGUCUGGCUUUGCAAGGCAUGUCACCCAGUAUGAUAUAAACAUGUGCACCUAGUAAGAUUUAUUGAGGAAUCUGUAUUUUCCAAAUACACAGUUAUUUAUUGCCUUGUAUAGAACAAAUAAACCAUCCUGAGCUUCCAUGUGCCAUUGAAAUCACAUAUCACCAUCGUUGGUUCAUUGCAAAUCUCAAGCACAUUUUAACCACCCCAAUGAGGCAGCCUGCGAGUUAGCCAUAAGCAGACAGAAGUCCAAAAUCAAUUAACGAAACACAAGGAAAUGAAAUACAAUCCACCUUUUACAAGUCACUUAGUUUGGAACAAGUUAAUAUACCGUAACACAAUUGUACUAUGAGAGGAUUUGGAUAUUGUAUUCCCUGCAUAUUUGGUUUUUCUGUAUUAACUUUGUAAAUUGGUCAAAAUCCGUAUAUCAUUCUUCCUUUCAGUGAGCUGAAGUUGUACUUUUGGAGACAAAUAUGGCACCUGUUAGGAGCUCCACUGGUCAAUAAUAGGUCCACGAAAAGAAUCUAGUCAUCUGUACUUUUCACUCUCGCAUAAUAGCCAAUACCCAUGUGCUGCAUUAUAGUAUCCAACAGGUUGCUAUGGAUAAAAAGAAAUUCAAUUACUCAACAGGUCGAGCCACCAGCGGUUCCAAGCUCAGUCUACGCAACACACUAAUUACUCUCUAAUAAUAUCACUUCCUGGUUAUUUUAUCCGGACUUUGGUGGCAAGCAUGAUCAUAUUACAAGGAGUGGAGGUGAACAGACAACCGCAACCCAAUGACAUAUUUAUAUGAGUAAGGAUACAUCAGUCAAUUCUACAAUAAGCUUCUAAUAAUAGAAUUAUAUAAGCAUGUGGCAAUAGCAAAUGGCAAUUCAGUACAGGUAAUAAAAUAACAUAAUACAUAAAUAUUCCCUCCGAUCCAUAAAAAGUGUCGCCCACUUAGUACAAAAUAGGCGACACUUUUUAUCGACCGGAGGGAGUAGUUACAAAAUAUACAAAGUUCCUGGCAGAUUUGCUAAUCCACAUUACCAAACUUUAAAUUGAUGUGGCCUAAAUUUCACAUAAAUUCCUGGCACGGGCAAUAUGAACACAACUAAAGAACUGAAGGGGAACAAAGAAAUGCUCUCCAACAUUCCAUAGUGAUAAAAAACUAUGUUGUGCAAUACCAAAACUUUUGUCUCCUUGGUGCCAAAUGGUUACAGUGAAUAAUACUAGGUAACAAAUUAUGUACUGUUCUAUAUCUUGAAUUCUUGAUCAUACAGUUAAUUAUUGGAAGAAAAAUCAACAUUAAGAUAUCCACACAUAUGGAACAAGCAGUCUGCCAUCAAGAAAAUUGCGGUAUAUAUAAGAAUACUGAUUGAUGAUUGUAACACACACAAUGCACACCACAUACAUGCUAAAUUAUAUUAAAAAUCAUGAGUAGGCUAAAGGCCAGGUGCAUGUAUAAUCUUACUGCAAAGGUAGAGACUAGCACUAGCUGGCUUCUCUGAGCCUCUUGAUCAGGGUGUCCAGAGAUUUUUUCUUUGGGUUCUGCCUAGCACCCCUAGUUCCAAAUGUUGAGAAAUAGCUCUCUGAGGUAUCCCUAAACUUCUCCGAGAUAACUGCAACCUUUCUGUAAUCAAGCUUAUUGUAGCUCUUCUCACGGAUCACUGGGUUAAGGAAGUUCUCUGGGCUGUUGCUCAUAAGAAGAUUCACCAGCUGCCUCGCCUCCACCAGUGCAGCCUUCAUUUCAUUUGCUGCAGAAUCUUUACCAGAUUCCCCAAACAGGUUGGACAUACUCUCUGCAAAUGCCUCAAACAUUUUGAGGUCAGUAUCAAUACCGACGACCGCACCAGCACUGAACCGCUUGACAGAGUCAUUCAAGAAGAGCCCAACAAUCCUCUCAGAUAUAUGCGCAAGCACUGCAACAAGAACGCGACGGAGCACUGCAAGAGGAAGGAUCUGCUGCGCAGUUGAAGUGAGCGUCUCCAGAUAGAUUGUGACCUCAUUGGCAUACUCAUUGCCUCCAGCAGGCGGGUCAUCAGCCAUCCAGCUGACACCAUCAGAUUGCAGCAUGAACUCGUCGAUCUUGGAACACAAUAGCCGCAGCAGAAGCGCUUCCGCAGCAUCGCGGGACUUGCAAAGUGGAAAGUCACGCCGUCCACGCUCCACUGCACGUAGCGGCACACCACACAAUUGCGCUGCAUGGCGUGUGAAAAACUCACAUGCACGCUCCAUGACAGACAUGUUCGCAGCAACCUGCAUUGCCUGGGAGACACUCAUACCACUGCCUGAAUCCACAAGCUUUUGUAUCGAAACAUCCACCACCUCUGAGAGAAUCCGACCAAGGUACUUCUUCACUGCUGCAUAUGUGUCCCCACCACCCCCAUGUGCCAUGAAGCUCACAGAAUCCUCAAUGAAUGACCGAACAAUGCGACAAAUGUCUGGCACGGUGCAUGAAAACAAUGCGACGUAAGGGAACGCCGGGGUGAUAUCAGAGCUCUGAAUCCCAAAAGCAAGCACAUUCAUUGAGUACUCAUACUCCUUUCUCAUGAGCAUCUGAUCAAACUUAUCUGCAGCCAGUGCCUCUACCACCUGUCUACGGCAAUCCGCGAGUAGCAAGUCGUGGUACUUGUCCCGAUGCUUAGCCAGCACAUCGAGUAGCAUCCCUACUGGAUAACUAUAUCGCCUCAUUGUGGCAGCAAGCAAGGCAGCAUAAUCAGUUAUGAGAAGCAAGUGGUUUGCUGUCUGCAUCCUAGAGAAGUUAUCUUCCAGCACAGAGAUCAUCUUCCCCACUGCAGCCUCCCACAGUGCGUCCACAUCUCCACGGGAUGUGAGUCCACCCCCAGUUCGAAAGACACGAUCCUCAACAAUAAAGAACCCAGCAAUCUGCGCGAAGAACACCUGGUGGGACUCAAGGAAUGGUGUUGCCGCAAUCACAUCAAAGUCAGACGUUAGCUGCAACUUCCUGUUCUCCAGGUAGUACUUCUUGAAUCGCUCCCCCAGCGCCAGUGUCUGGUGUAUGUGCAUGGCCCGGUACAGCUGCGUGAGGUCAAACGAGGCCGCAGCCGCACCAUCGGCCACAUCAGACGAUGCGGUGGCCGCAGCAAAGUCGUCGAGGUCACCAGCUCCGUCGUCGUCCAGGGUGAUGGACUCCUCCAGCGGGCGGUGCUUGGAGCGGAGCUCCUCCUGACGCUGCCUGGCGGCAGCCGAGCGGCCAAUGGCCACCUGUCCAAGGUGGCGCGAAGCAGCCCGGAUGCUGACCAUCCAGUCGGCGAACUCCCUGGAGAUCUCGCGCUCAGCGUGGACACGCACGGCGGGGACGAGGCUGAGCAGCAUGCGGCGGAGGGCGGGAAGGGGCAACGGCUCGGGACCAGAGGCAAGGUCGCGAUCGAUGGCAUCGACGGCGCGCAGGGCGAGGUAGAGACUGUGGUUGCCGGCCUGGAGGUGUUCGUUAGCCCGAGCGGCGAGCGCAAGCAGGCGGACGCAGCGGCGGGAUGAGGCGAGGGCGGAGGAGAGGUUCCCGGCGAGCGCGCGCGCGGCGAGGAAGGACUCGAGCGAGGCGAGCAGCGGCGCGGCGGAGGAGAGGAGGGCGGAGUGGGAGGCGGAGAGGGAGCCCUUGAGCACGUCGGCGUCGGCGAGGAGGGAGCGGAGGUCGUCGACGGCGCGGAUGAAGUCGUGGAAGUGCGCGCGGCAGAGCUCCUCGAUCUCGGCCUCGCGGUCCCGCGCGACGGCGCGGAGGGAGGACAGCAGCGGCUCCGGCCGGCCGCAGGCGAAGGCGCGCCGCACGAAAGGGCCCAGGUCCUCCCCCGCCGAGAUGGCGGUGGAGAGCUGUGCCAGGUCCGCCUCGGACGGGAGCGACCCGCCGCCUGCCGACGGCGGCGCUUCGCCGGGGAGCUUGCGCCGCAUCGAGAUCUGGAGCUGGAAGGAGGUGGGGGGGUUGGAGAAGAGAAGAGAGCAGUUGCCGCCGAGUUGGGCAGGAAAAAAAUGUCCAGAGAAGAAACAGGGGGGCGGUCGUGCCGCGUGCGAGCUGGCGCUGGAAGUGGGGUCCGGAUAAUGGAGACGUAUACUUGUCAACUAGUCAAGCCUGUGGGACCAUUGUGUCGGUGUGUAUUAGGAAGGUGAAACCGUAUAGCUAUGCUUGGGUUGAGGAGGCGACGGCGUUUAGACGUGGACACUAGUCCUCAACAAAACCAUUACUGCAGCCGUUAUUUUAUCUUUCGUGGUAUCACUAUUCUCUUCUACUAUCCGUCAGUUUUUUAAUUAAAAUUUCUAAAAAGAACCGCUGGUCAUGCUCCUCUCUCAUUACUUCUUUCCUUCGACUUUUUCUGGGUAACAAUAAAGUAACCAUUUCUUGCACAAAUUUUCAACGCAAUUUUUUUUUAAUUUCGAAAUAAAGGUUCCUGCAUAUGUGGGGGAACGAUGCACAAAUUUUUGAAAACCAGUACCAACAUGUAUAAUUCUUCCGGAACUACGUUUUCUUCCCGGCCUUUCAACCAACCAAUACGAUCUCGUAGGCCAGCUUUCGUUAAAUUCCGAGCAGUUUCUUGAAAACUUGUUUCAGAUAUGAAACUUUGGGUAUUAAUGGAAGCUCUUGUUAUUCCCAAUAAAAUUGCUCGAUAAUAGAUCGAUUCAUUCAAAGCCCGUCCUGCUCGUUCCGCUCGCAACAGUCCAUCUUUAGAAACCGCACUUUUGAUGUUCCUUACCUAUAAUAAUCUCUAUAAGAAACUGAUACUACUAUACUUCUGCAUAUUCUCCCUCCUCCACCUAAGUAAGAAUCUGACGGGUGGCCUUAAGUAACACAUGGUUUGUAAUUGUUGGAAAUGCUCUAACAGCCACCCACCUUCAUUGGAAAGUGUAUUUUUACCUUCUGUUUACGCAUACAACCAAUAAUUUAUCCAUGUAUUUUACUUCUUCUAUUUCUCUUAUAUCAUGUGUAUACACUUUAUGGUUACUCUAUUUUCGCAUCAUAACAAUUCAAAUGUUAAUCUUGUAGUCACAUCCUUUUUCUUGGGACAACGCUUUGCUUUUGUUAAUGAGGUGUCCGGGUGAAACCCCCGCAAACCCCUCUCAUAGUUUUUUGUUUCUGGCUGCUGAUCUAUUUCAACAGUGAUUAAUAAGGAGCUUGAAUUAGGUAACGUCUUUUGUCAAGAAGGUCAGCCAUGCUAUCUUAUCGGGCAAGCUUUAGUGUCAUCCACAUUGUUCUCUUGUCUGCAACUUCCUAUUAAAAUCAUUAAUCAUAUUGUCAAGAUUUGCCGUUGUUGUUGUGGAGUAAGCAUAGUGGUGAGUCCAACAACGCUCUUGUUUCUUGGGAUAAGGCAUGUCGUCCAAGAAUAAAGGGGGUCUGGUUAUUUCGAGUCUUCAAGUUCAAAACCAAGCUUUGUUGCUUAAGCAUUUAGAUUGCACUAGUAAGUUGCCCGUGCGUUACUACGGAACACGACAUGCAUGCAUUGCAUUUUUCUCUCGUUUUAGCCCUCUUCACACAAAUGUGUACACGAGCUCUUCAAGCAACUCUCUCUUCGGUUCCAUCUGGUAAGAACACAAAACAGUAUUUUCCUACCUCUCUUACACUCACUCUCGGCUCCACAGGUUUGUCCGGCGCCCAUAUUGAAGUAAAACACCACAAAUUGUACAACAUCACUCAAAGUAGAAUUUGACGAAGCAUGUUAGAUAUGAAUAUCAAGUGAUAUAUCUCGCUUAAAAAUUAAAUAAAACAACAAUAUCAUAAGAUAGUAGGAGCAUUCUUACACUUUCUACGAUUUUACUUUAAAGAAAGUAUGUUAACAUACUAAUUACUCCACUCUUCAAUGGAAGUAGUGGUAUCAUAUUGCAGAUUGUAUUUCUUGAAGUGGGGCAAAAACAUCCAGAGAAUUUCAAUAUCGCAGUUCAGUUGCAUCAAAAACAAGCCUUGGUCCGUGCCAAUGGAUAUUAUGGGUUUGAUUCAUAGCUUGCGUGAAUAAAAAUGUAUACAACAAUCUCAUAAGAAAGACUCUAGAAAGCGAUUGCUUCAUAAGUACGGAAAUAUGCUGACGUGAAGAGGUUUUACUUUUAAUAAGAAUAUGGCGAAACAAUAGAGCUCUCCGAUCGAGUGAUGCAAGUGAAGCCGAAUCUAUAGUAUACCCAAUGCCCUUCUCCUCCUGUUGCCCAAUACUUGCAGCCACAACGAAUCAAUGUCUUCCCUUGAACACCGUCGCCUCCGGUGAAUUUAACCACCUAAAAACUCUAGGCGCCUCCACCUUGCCUUCAAGUGGGCGUCAGCCCUGGCUAGCUACUGCCCUAAAGGGAAAAAGGAGAGAAAAAAGAUGUUGGUGAGAAGACUUUGCUGCAAUUAAAUUGCAAAAUAGUCACCUAAUUAUUAGGAAACCCAUACAAAUAUCACCAAAUGUAGCACAAGUUCUGAAUAAGAAAAAGAAUGUGUCACAACUUCUGACAAUGAAAGGCCAACAAAAAACCUUACUAAAUACCUGAGAGGUUUUCACUGGAAACCUGAAAAACUGCUGACUGAAAAAGGAGAGACAUACUCUUAAAAUCUGAAAGAGAAAACUUCGCGGCUGCACACACCAAGCAAAAUGAAAUCUCUGGAUGUAAAUCAUGAAACCAACAAUUAGAAGUGUCAAAACUACUUGAAAAAAGCAGUUGGGCAUGAAGUCUUGUGCACAAAGUACAGAAGAAGGACAAGUACAAAACUAAAAUUAAAGAAAGCCUCCAAUCAUGUUCACUGAAUUGUAUGUUUGAGUCUUUGAGAUGCUCCUGAAAUACCACUUUGAAACCAAAAGAUUAUUGAUGCAUCAUGUACAGGUUCGAUAUGGUAAUUAUAUUGCUGCUUGAUUUGUGCUACCAGCCUACCAGGUAGCUGUGUGCAGGUUCAAAUGGUAAUGUUCGGAGUUCAAAGAAGCAGAAGGCAGAGAAGUUUGGGUUCAGAGUAGGAAUAGUUGGCAUUUAGGCAAACUGGAUGUUCGCUGCCAUCCCUUAGUUUUGUUCAUGGCUGAAGGAUGAGAGGCCUGGUGCUGGUUUUGCCAUUUUGGUACAUGUGUCUAGAGGCUAGAAGAAAUUCAUAGUCAAAUUCAGAGCAUAGAUGGCUAUCAAUUCAAAUGAAACAACAACAGAUUAACAUCAAAAGCAAAUGGUGAUCCAGUUAAAGGCACUCACAUUAGAAAUUAUAAUGGCAUAUCUCCAACACUGGACUAAUAUUACUGUUUUUUAUUUUCUCUAAUUUUUAUAGAUUUUUCUGAGAAAAUUGAAUUUUGGGUUAAAUUUGAAAUUGUUUGAACCUUUAUGGCGCCUAGAAGACUCGAACGUCCUGAUGGACAUUGUAAAUAGGGUAUUAUGGUAAAUACUGUUGUACACGCUGAAAUACAUGUAUUUUAUGAACAUUUAUUGGUCUUAAGUGGACAUAAUGACAUUGAUAGAGGUAUAAGAAACCUAGAAUGGCAUUUCUCCAAGUCAAAUUUUUGUAAUGACAUAUCUUUAACCGGUAAAAUAGAGAGUGACAUAGAUCCAAUUAACCCUUUCUUCAAAGCAGGCAAAAUUACUUGUUACAGUUUUUCGUCGGUCAACAUCACCUCAGCCACCUGAGAACAAAUUUAAGGUAUAGUUAGGAUUCAACAAAAACUCAAAACUGAAAUGAUCUUGCUAUCUUUAGCCUGAUAAUUUGAGGGCAAUAUCACAACAAAGAAAGAACAUACUUUCUCCGUCUAACAAAAGAUGUCUCAAGUUUGACCAAAUUUGAAUGCAUCUAUACACUAAAUCAUGUCUAGAUACAUCCAAAUUUUGACAAGUUUGAGACAUUUUUUGUUGGACGGAGGGAGUACUUGUUUAACUAUAAAAAAAUAAGUGAGAUACAGUCCGAUGAUUAGUUGUAUCGACGUUGCCAGCUUGUCUUUUUUCUCCUCGCAAAAGUAGCAAGUAGCCCGUAG
rnacentral:lncRNA from 1 species